AAAUAAAACUCUCUUCCCAUAUGAAAACAAAAAGCAGGUGAAGUUUCACCUGACGGUCACAUGUGCGACUAAUCAAUAUUUAAAACGAAAUCAAGUAAACUUGAAAAUUAAAUGAGACGUUGCGGACCAUUGGGAAAAAAUGUAGAUUGUCUUUUAUUAACGCGUUGGUGUGAAAAUAUAACACCCAGACAUUGAUGUCCAAUUGGAAGUCCAAUGAACUCCAAGGAAAAGCAAUCGUUUAAGAAAUUCACAAUUUUUUCAAAAAACAUUCGAAGGGUUCCCGUCGACAAAAAGAAGGUCGUCUCGUGGCCUCUGAGUGAUUAAAUAUAUUUUCACGUGUAGCCUUACCAAGGCCCUCCAUGUACUGAUUCCUAAUUGAUUGCACUGUGUCAUUGGUCAGUCGAUACAUAAUAAUAAUUUUCAUACAUCUAAACUUUCAAUUUUCAUUCGUUACAAUUUUUUUCAUUUCAGUCAUAAAUUAUAAAUUCCACAGUUAAAGUUACAUAAUUCCCUUUUCUCGUUGAAUAAUAAUAAUAAUUUAUUCUUUGUUAGCUUUUUUUUUCUAAACUAUAAUAAAAUAAAAUUUUAUCCUCGAUUCAUUGAGGUCAAGAUGAAAUUCUAAUAGUGAUUUCCUUUAGAAAUUUAAAAAAUUAUUAUUAAUAAAUAUUAGCUUCUUAUUACAAUUAUUAAAAAUUAUACGAAGAUUUUGUUUUAAUACUUAAAACAUUGGAAAUUGUUUUUUUAAAAAAUAAUUUUGUUUUCUGUUGCAUUUUAUAGAAAUAUUAAAACUUGCAUAACAAUUGAAAAUGUGAAUCUUCAUCUUUAUAUGAAAGGUUGAAUAAUAGACACAAAUCUCUUUCUGUCUAAAUCUUCUCACAAUAAUUUAAUAGAAUUAAGUAUUCUGACGUAGAUAUGGUACUAAUUUGUAAUUUCAAAAACUAUAUUUAGGCCCUAUGUCUUGAUUAGAUCACUUUUUACAUCAUGAGAAAUAUUAAACUGUUUAUCAGUCAUUGUAUGAUUAGAUUUUUUUUUUUGCAAGAUCAAUUUUUUAAAAUAGAAAUUCUAAAAAGUAUACGACAAAUUUUAUUAUUAGUUUAAUUAAAAAUUCAUUUGAUUUUUUAUGCAGACAAGAAAUUAGAGAAUCUGAUUACGAGAUACAAAAAAAAUGUUUUAACUGAAAGCAACCGAAUUUUUGUAAGCAGGAAAUUUUUCUUUUAAUAGAAGAUUGAUUCUUAAAUUAAGUGUUAUCAGGAAUUUAAAAAAUUGUUUAAUUGUUUUAUCUUCAUUAUUAUAUUUAUCUUCAAAUUUCUUUGCAUAAAAAAAAAAUUAAUUUCAGGAAACAAUUAAAAUUUUUUCUACAACAAUCAAC